rnacentral:rRNA from 1 species
GAUGAACGCUGGCGGCGUGCCUAACACAUGCAAGUCGAGCGAACGGACGAGAAGCUUGCUCCUCUGAUGUUAGCGGCGGACGGGUGAGUAACACGUGGAUAACCUACCUAUAAGACUGGGAUAACUUCGGGAAACCGGAGCUAAUACCGGAUAAUAUUUUGAACCGCAUGGUUCAAAAGUGAAAGACGGUCUGGCUGUCACUUAUAGAUGGAUCCGCGCUGCAUUAGCUAGUUGGUAAGGUAACGGCUUACCAAGGCAACGAUGCAUAGCCGACCUGAGAGGGUGAUCGGCCACACUGGAACUGAGACACGGUCCAGACUCCUACGGGAGGCAGCAGUAGGGAAUCUUCGACAAUGGGCGAAAGCCUGAUGGAGCAACGCCGCGUGAGUGAUGAAGGUCUUCGGGUCGUAAAACUCUGUUGUUAGGAAAGAACAGAUGUGUAAGUAACUGUGCACGUCUUGACGGUACCUAAACAAAAAGCCACGGCUAACUACGUG